ACCGCGCCUAGCUCGACGGGGCGAAAACCGGGCUCCCUUACCCGGCCGGCGCGGCUCCUCUCAAGGG
rnacentral:sRNA from 20 species